AGACAGAGGGUGCAAACGUUGUUCGGAAUUACUGGGCGUAAAGCGCGUGUAGGCGGCUUGGUAAGUCAGGUGUGAAAGCCCUCGGCUCAACCGGGGAAGUGCACUUGAAACUACCGAGCUAGAGUCCCGGAGAGGAUGGUGGAAUUCUCGGUGUAGAGGUGAAAUUCGUAGAUAUCGAGAGGAACACCGGUGGCGAAGGCGGCCAUCUGGACGGUGACUGACGCUGAGACGCGAAAGCGUGGGGAGCAAACAGGAUUAGAUACCCUGGUAGUCCACGCCGUAAACGAUGGGUGCUAGGUGUCGCGGGCUUUGACCCCUGCGGUGCCGUAGCCAACGCAUUAAGCACCCCGCCUGGGGAGUACGGCCGCAAGGCUAAA
rnacentral:rRNA from 1 species